rnacentral:rRNA from 1 species
GAUGAACGCUGGCGGCGUGCCUAAUACAUGCAAGUCGAGCGAACGGACGAGAAGCUUGCUUCUCUGACGUUAGCGGCGGACGGGUGAGUAACACGUGGAUAACCUACCUAUAAGACUGGGAUAACUUCGGGAAACCGUAGCUAAUACCGGAUAAUAUUUUGAACCGCAUGGUUCAAAAGUGAAAGACGGUCUUGCUGUCACUUAUAGAUGGAUCCGCGCUGCAUUAGCUAGUUGGUAAGGUAACGGCUUACCAAGGCAACGAUGCAUAGCCGACCUGAGAGGGUGAUCGGCCACACUGGAACUGAGACACGGUCCAGACUCCUACGGGAGGCAGCAGUAGGGAAUCUUGCGCAAUGGGCGAAAGCCUGACGGAGCAACGCCGCGUGAGUGAUGAAGGUCUUCGGAUCGUAAAGCUCUGUUAUUAGGGAAGAACAUAUGUGUAAGUAACUGUGCGCAUCUUGACGGUACCUAAUCAGAAAGCCACGGCUAACUACGUG